rnacentral:rRNA from 1 species
UUGAAUAAUGCAGACAGUGGAUGCCUUGCUUCUUAUCUCCGAAAAAGGACGUACAUAGCCACGAAAGUCGCCGGGUAGCUGCUACGAAGCUUUGAUCCGACGGUGUCCGAAUGGGGAAACCCAUCGCGUUUUACGCGAUACUCUGUGGUAAAAACGUCGACGCAAGUCGAUGUAUAGCCGCUGAGGGGAAACCGCCCGAACUGAAACAUCUAAGUAGGGCGAGGAAUAUAAAUCAAAUCGAGAUUCCGCCAGUAGCGGCGAGCGAAAACGGAAUAGUCUAAAUGCGUGAGCAGCACGCAGGACAUACGACAUAGAUUGAAGAACUCGGGGUUAAACCCUUGUUCUUUGUUCUACGAACUGUGUUCUGCAUGCUGCGCAUGCACGUUGCGGGAGCCCAAUAUGGGAUUAGUAUUUAAUAGCAGAAUGGUCUGGAAUGGCCAAUCAUAGGGAGUGAAAAUCUCGUAUGCAAAAUUAAAUAUUACCCUAGGGAUUUCCCAAGUACCACGGAGCACAUACUCUGUGGGAAUCGGGGGGAACCAUCCUCCAAGACUAAAUAAGAUAAGAGAGCGAUAGUGAACUAGUACCGUGAGGGAAAGGUGAAAAGCUGGGUGAGACACCCAAUGAAAUAGAACCUGAAACUGUUUGCAGUCAAACCGUGAGAGCCCCAAUUUAUUGGGGUGAUCGCGUGCCUAUUGAAGAAUGAGCCGGCGAGUUUUCAAUUAUUUCCAGUCUAAGUCGUCUAAGACGAUGGAGGCGUAGGGAAACCGAGUGUUAAUAAUUGGAAGACCCGAAACCAGGUGAGCUAACCUCGAGCAGGGUGAACCAAGCAGAAAUGCUUGUGGGAGGCCCGAACCCGUUGUUGUUGCAAUAACAUGGGAUGACUUGUGGUUAGGGGCAAUAUACUUAUCAGAAAGCCGCAUCGGGCUAAGCUGAUGCGACGAAAGGGAAACAACCCUUGACUCUCAGUUAAGGCCUCUAAAUUACAACUAAGUUUGAAAGGAAGUUUCUUUUCUCAGACAGCCAGGAGGUUGGCUCAGAAGCAGCCACCCUUUAAAGAUAGCGUAACAGCUCACUGGUCGAUGGGAGGAAGCGCCGAAGAUUUAUCGAGGAUAAGUUGUAUGCCGAAGCUAGAGAUUUUACACCGUGAGGUGUGGAGUGGUAGGGGAGCGUUCCAAUUGCGGUGAAGCUCUGGCUGUAAGGCCGGGUGGAGCGGUUGGGAGUGAGAAUGUCGGCUUGAGUAGCGCACAACGCUAGUGAGAAUCUAGCGCGUCGAAUGUCCAAGGUUUCCACUGCAAGAUUCGUUCUCAGGAUUUACUAAGCAGGAAUUUCGGAGCUUUUUCGUGAAGUAAAGUGCAGAAGCCAAAACAGUUGUGAUUGGAAAAUCCGUCGCAGCGUUUAAUUAAGGUGGUGCAAAGUCUUCCGCGAGGGAGGCGAUUCCGAACGUUUCAGUUUACGAGAAAAGAUUCGUAGUGAGAGUUAACAUAAGCCGUACCGCAAACCGACACAGGUGGACUGGGGGAGUACCCUAAGACGAUCGAGAGACAAAUCCUCAAGGAACUCGGCAAAAAAACUACCCGUAACCUCGGGAGAUGGGUUGCCUUGCUUAAAAACAAGGUGGCAC